rnacentral:rRNA from 1 species
AUUGAACGCUGGCGGCAGGCCUAACACAUGCAAGUCGAGCGGUAGCACAGAGAGCUUGCUCUCGGGUGACGAGCGGCGGACGGGUGAGUAAUGUCUGGGAAACUGCCUGAUGGAGGGGGAUAACUACUGGAAACGGUAGCUAAUACCGCAUAAUGUCGCAAGACCAAAGUGGGGGACCUUCGGGCCUCAUGCCAUCAGAUGUGCCCAGAUGGGAUUAGCUAGUAGGUGGGGUAACGGCUCACCUAGGCGACGAUCCCUAGCUGGUCUGAGAGGAUGACCAGCCAAGCUCGAACUGCGACACUGUCCAGACUCCUACGGGCGGCAGAAGUGGGGAAUAUGGACCAAUGGGCACAAGCCUGAUGCAGCCAUGCCGCGUGUGUGAAGAAGGCCUUCGGGUUGUAAAGCACUUUCAGCGGGAAGGAAGGCGGUGAGGUUAAUAACCUCAUCGAUUGACGUUACCCACAGAAGAAGCACCGACUAACUCCGUGCCAGCAGCCGCAGUAA